GUUUUUAUAGUUUAACAAAAACAUUACAUUUUCAUUGUAAAAUUAGAGUCAAUCUUAAAAAUA
rnacentral:tRNA from 1 species